rnacentral:rRNA from 1 species
UACAGAGGUCUCAAGCGUUGUUCGGAUUCAUUGGGCGUAAAGGGUGCGUAGGUGGCGCGGUAAGUCGGGUGUGAAAUCUCGGAGCUUAACUCCGAAAUUGCAUUCGAUACUGCCGUGCUUGAGGACUGGAGAGGAGACUGGAAUUUACGGUGUAGCAGUGAAAUGCGUAGAGAUCAUGAGGAAGACCAGUGGCGAAGGCGGGUCUCUGGACAGUUCCUGACACUGAGGCACGAAGGCCAGGGGAGCAAACGGG